rnacentral:rRNA from 1 species
AGUUAACGUUGGCGGCGUGCCUAACACAUGCAAGUCGAACGGCAGCAUGGGUGCUUGCACCUGAUGGCGAGUGGCGAACGGGUGAGUAAUGCAUCGGAACGUACCCGGAAGUGGGGGAUAACGUAGCGAAAGUUACGCUAAUACCGCAUAUUCUGUGAGCAGGAAAGCGGGGGAUCGCAAGACCUCGCGCUUCCGGAGCGGCCGAUGUCGGAUUAGCUAGUUGGCGGGGUAAAGGCCCACCAAGGCAACGAUCCGUAGCGGGUCUGAGAGGAUGAUCCGCCACACUGGGACUGAGACACGGCCCAGACUCCUACGGGAGGCAGCAGUGGGGAAUUUUGGACAAUGGGCGCAAGCCUGAUCCAGCCAUGCCGCGUGCAGGAUGAAGGCCUUCGGGUUGUAAACUGCUUUUGUACGGAACGAAAAAGGACUACUCUCUAAUACAGGGGUGAAGUGACGGUAACCGUAAGAAUAAGCACCGGCUAACUACGUGCCAGCAGCCGAC